GGGACCUUGCUCAAGAAAUGGCAGAGCUUAGAUAUCAAGUUACAGGUUUGUUAGAAGAAGAACGUAAGCAUCGUGCUCGCAUUGAACAGGCAUCCUUGCAAAGAAUUGCCGAGUUAGAAGCGCAGCUUCAAAGAGAACAGAGAAAAUCUUUAUUUGCUGUCCGCGGUCUCCCUGAAGUGUAGAAACUGGAAUUAUUCAAAGUUUUUCAAGUUCAUCAGAAGAGACUCAUCUUAGAGAUGUACUGAAAGAUGUAGGAUGUCUUCUCAUGCCUUGGUUCCUGGAGAAGAGAAAUGAAGUGGCUGUACAGAAGAACUAGCUCGUGCGUGUUACAGUGUAUUUUGUGAUAUGGGGUGCAAGAAUUGAUAUAAACACAUUGAAUUUUUGUACAGAUGCCUGCGAUCUCUCUCUCUCUCUCUCUCUCUCUCUCUCGCUUCUUUCUUGCAAUAGUCUUGAUCAGGGUGGGAAUGUCUGUUGUGAAGGAUUGACUUUUAGGUCAAAUUCUGUCAUUUGAAAUUUUGCUAUUUUUUUA